rnacentral:rRNA from 1 species
AACCUGCCCCAUAGUCUGGGAUACCACUUGGAAACAGGUGCUAAUACCGGAUAAGAAAGCGGAUCGCAUGAUCAGCUUUUAAAAGGCGGCGUAAGCUGUCGCUAUGGGAUGGCCCCGCGGUGCAUUAGCUAGUUGGUAAGGUAAAGGCUUACCAAGGCGAUGAUGCAUAGCCGAGUUGAGAGACUGAUCGGCCACAUUGGGACUGAGACACGGCCCAAACUCCUACGGGAGGCAGCAGGG